rnacentral:sRNA from 1 species
GCUGGGGGUGGUGGUGCAUGCCUGUAAUCCCAGCAGCUCGGGAGGCAGAGGCAGGAGGAUCUUAAGUUCAAAGCCAGACUCAGCAAUUUAGCAAGGUGCUAAGCAACUCAGUAAGAACCUGUCUCUA